rnacentral:rRNA from 1 species
UACAGAGGGUGCGAGCGUUAAUCGGAAUUACUGGGCGUAAAGCGUGCGUAGACGGUUCGUGAUGUCUGAUGUGAAAGCCCCGGGCUCAACCUGGGAAUUGCAUUGGAAACUAGCGGGCUGGAGUGUGGCAGAGGGGGGUGGAAUUCCACGUGUAGCAGUGAAAUGCGUAGAGAUGUGGAGGAACACCGAUGGCGAAGGCAGCCCCCUGGGCUAACACUGACGCUCAGGCACGAAAGCGUGGGGAGCAAACAGG